CGUGUUUCAUCAUAUUCUUGAUGUAAGGUUCUAGGAGUCUGAGCGCUUGUAGUUGUUGGCAUUGGUCUCUAGCGAUGAAAAAGGAGAUGGAAAAAAAGGGUUACGUAGAUGGUGAACUAGUGGCUGAAAUGGGUAAAUAAAAUAAGAUAUCCGAUGGAGAGUGAAAAUGGCAGGAGUUGUGAUGGACGACAAGGGAGUGAGUUAAGAGGGAAGGAAGAUGAUGAAUAUAAUGACAAACAAAGUAUGGAUGACUUUGGAUUAUUGAAAUUU
rnacentral:lncRNA from 1 species